rnacentral:lncRNA from 1 species
AAUUUCUUUUAAAAAAUAGAUUUAAAAUUUUGACAUCAUUUUAAAAUUUUGAUGUAAAAUUUUAAUAUUUAAUUUUUAAUUUGAAUUUAAAUUAAUAUAUUAUAAAGAUAAAAUUAAUAUAUUAAUCUGAUUACGUUUUUUAUAUUUACCUGAACCAAACACCGACAAUGAGAAUGAUUUAUUCCGAUUCCGAUUCAGGUGAUGAACCAAACAGAAUUAGGUAAUGAGUCAUUCCGAUUCUGAUUCCAGCUUAUUUCGAUUCCGAUUCUGAUUUCGAUUCCGACUUCGAACCAAACACGCCCUGACUGUCUCUAGCGUAAGCGGCAAAGAGCUUAGUGGUUGGUACUCGAGGUCACAAAUUCGAAUUCUAGUUGAUUCACAUUUCUAGUUAAGUUUAUUUCUAAAAAAUAAACGAAGCGGAUAGCAUGCUACCUUCCUCUCUCUUUCUCUCUCUCAAAAAAAAAAAAAAAAAAAAAA